AUGCAUACCUUUUAUUCUCCAGUCCAGCUCAAAAAAAUUGACAAAUGGGUGGGCGGGGGCGGUAGCAGCGACCCCCUGGGCCCCAGCUUGUGCCUUCUCCCCACACAGCCAGGCCUACUUCGCUUUGAUGUCUACCAACAGUCACCUAGAAGUAUGGGAGAUGGCCAACAAUUGGCUACAUCAGGAGUACGUGCCUUCCGCGCACCUCAGCGGUACCUGCACCUGUCUGGCCUGGGCGCCAGAGUGGUUGCAGGCCAAGGAAAGUCCCCAGAGAAAAAAAAGGAAUCAGAAGCUGUAGGAACAAGUAACCAGACUGACUUACUGGCUUUUGGCACAGCAGUUGGUAGCAUUUUAUUAUACAGCACAAUUAAGGGAGAAUUACACAGUAAAUUAGUAAGUGGUAGACAUGACAGCAGAGUCAACUGCAUACAGUGGCAUCAAGACAGUGGCUAUUUAUGUAGUUGUUCAGAUGAUAAACAUAUUGUGGAAUGGAACGUACAGAUGUGCAAAGUAAAGUGCAAAUGGAAAGGUGACAAUAGCAGUGUCAGUUCCCUAUGUACCAGCCCAGAUGGAAAGAUGUUGCUUUCAGCUGGUCGAACAAUCGAACUAUGGGUUUUGGACACCAAAGAAGUCUACAGACAUUUCACAGGACAUGCGACGACAGUUUUGUCACUUAUGUUCACCACUAUCAGACCUCCUAAUGAGAGCCAGCCCUCUGAUGGAAUUACAGGUCUUUAUUUCUUAUCUGGAGCAGCUCAUGACCGGUUACUUAAUGUCUGGCAGGUCCUAUCAGAAAACAAAGAAAAGAGUGCAGUGAUGUCAUUUACAGUUACGGAUGAGCCUGUCUACAUUGACUUAACUUUGUCAGAAAACAAAGAAGAGCCUGUCAAGUUGGCUAUUGUUUGCAGAGAUGGUCAAGUCCAUCUUUUUGAACAUAUAUUAAAUGAGUACUGCAAAAAGCCUUUGACUUCAAACUGCACAAUUCAGAUAGCAGCACCCGGGAAAGGCAAGAAAUCAGUACCAAAACCCAUCCCUAUUCUAGCUGCUGGUUUUUGCUCAGACAAAAUGUCAUUGUUGCUUGUACAUGGCAGUUGGUUUCAGCCUACUAUUGAGCAAGUGGCUUUAAACUCCAAAGAACUUCAUAUGUGUUUAGUAAGAGGUAUUUCAAACUGCUGGGCCCCCAAAGUAGAAAGAGCUAUAACAAAGGUGAGGACGCUAGUGAUGAAUUUUGAAGCAAAAGUUCUGGUGCCUGGGAUUCAUGCAACUAUCAGGCCUGCUCCUCCACAAACCGAGCAAGUAGAGAGCAAGAGGAAAUCAGGGGAAAAUGAGGUUAGCACUGAAGAACGCCUGGGAGCAAUGGAUAUAGACAUACACAAAAAAGGAAAGGAUGACCUUCAGAUGAAUGCUUUCCAGUCUUCUUACCCAGGGCUUAGAAAGUAGCGAUUUUGAAAUGCUAAAUAAAGUACUUCAAACUAGGAAUUUAAAUCUUAUAAAGAAGACUGUAUUAAGGAUGCCCUUGCAUACUGUUAUUCCAUUGUUGCAAGAGCUAAGAAAGAGGUUACAAGGACAUCCUAAUAGUGCUGUGCUAAUGGUUCAGUAGCUAAAAUGUGUGUUAACAGUUUAUGCAUCAUACCUGUCCAUGUUGCCUGACCUGGUACCCCAGCUGGGGACACUCUAG